GACGAAUGCUGGCGGCGUGCUUAACACAUGCAAGUCGAACGGUGAAGCCCUUCGGGGUGGAUCAGUGGCGAACGGGUGAGUAACACGUGAGCAACCUGCCCCUGACUCUGGAAUAACUACCGGAAACGGUGGCUAAUACCGGAUACGACCUUCCUGCGCAUGUGGGUUGGUGGAAAGUUUUUCGGUCGGGGAUGGGCUCGCGGCCUAUCAGCUUGUUGGUGGGGUGAUGGCCUACCAAGGCGACGACGGGUAGCCGGCCUGAGAGGGCGACCGGCCACACUGGGACUGAGACACGGCCCAGACUCCUACGGGAGGCAGCAGUGGGGAAUAUUGCGCAAUGGGCGGAAGCCUGACGCAGCGACGCCGCGUGGGGGAUGAAGGCCUUCGGGUUGUAAACCUCUUUCAGCAGGGAAGAAGCGUGAGUGACGGUACCUGCGGAAGAAGCACCGGCUAACUACGUGCCAGCAGCCGCAGUAA
rnacentral:rRNA from 1 species